UUUUUUGUUUUUGUUUUUUUUUUGGAUGAAGCUUUCUCUACCAGCUUCUGAAGUUACUAAACUUGCAGCUUCUACAGGAUAAUCCAUUGAGGUCUCUAGCUUUUAGCUAUUGUUACAUUUCCUUUAAACUCCACAAGGCUGUUUUGUUUUGUUCUGUCAAAUAGGGUUGAGAAGGGAGCACUGACUUCUAGCUAUUUACAUAGGUACAAUUUCACAUGUACCCUGGAAUGACUGUUUCAGAUUUUCCUACUCUAAGCUUCUCACUUGGCCAUUGUAAGCUAUUUCUUUCUGUUACUGAUCCCAAUGAGCUCAUCACUUGUCACUCUGUCAAACACAGUCCUUUCUAGUGGUGACUCUCAAACUGAUAUCCUCCUCACAAAUUCAGAAAGACAAAACUGUGAUCACUAUACCUCCAAAAUGUCAGGAUUGCCAGGGCUAGAAUGUAGGCCUGCCCCCUUGAGUUUGGAGGCUCAUCCUAGAAGCUGCUGUUCUGAAUCCCAGCUUCUCAGAAAGGAGUGGUUUUAUAAUGCCAUUGUUGCACAAAGAAGAGAUUGGAUGUUCCCUUUUACUCCUGUCUGUCUCCACAUGGAGCUUAGCAGCAAAACUAUGCCAAGCCUCCUCACUCUCCCUAGUCUGAAAAUACCUGUUAUUUCUUAUCCUACAGUUAAUAUGGAAAUAUCUUUCCUCAAUUUCUAGGACUCAUGGUAUGAUCUCAUAAGAUUACUAUAGUGUGGUCUUAUGGUAUUAGUAGUACUUUGGUGUAUUUCCCCAAAACUGGGUCAUUCCAUAUUGGCUAUUGUCAGAUUGUCAUCCUAUAAAGGGUCAUGAGUUUUAACAGAACAGAACCCAUUAUAUGUAAAUAUGUUCAUAUGUAAAUCUAAGUUAAUACUUUCUAUAGUCAGUAUAUCAUAAUAUCCAAAUACCAUGUGAUUUUAAAGAUGAUUAUACCAACUAUGAUUUAUAACUUUGAUUUCACUCAUAAUUUUUAAAUGUGUACAUUGACAUAGUAAAUAAAUUCUAAUACAAGAACAAACAGCAUCAAUUUCCUUCAUAAUCUUGACCACCGUGACCUGCCUCCAUCAGAAGGUAUCAUUCUACAUGUCCAUACAAUUUGAUUAAUGAGCUUCUAUUAAAAUCCUGUAAAUUUAUGAUGAGAUUUCUGGAUUUUAUGCAGUCAGGCCUAACUUUAAUAUCUUGGAAUGAGAUAUUUCCUUAGCAGGAGUGACUAACAUAAUUAUUGGCAACCAGCCUAUAAAAUCAUGCAAAUAUUAUUUAUGAACUGGCCAGUUGUGUUAGCACCAUCAUUUAGGUAUCCUUUGUGUUUUAUAGCAAUCUUCCAUGUCAGGCUUUGGCAUACAUUUCCCAGAAAAUUAAAAUCUUUAACUUACCCUUAGGACUUAAUAAUCAAAUAAACAAUAAUUAUAAAAUACAUUUGAUUCAUAGAGUUCAUUCAAAAGAAGAAUGCUACUGAACUUUAUCUGGAAUCACUCUAUCGUCUCAAAUUAUGUAACAUAAAACAAUAACUUGGAAUGUAAUUUUUAUCAACAUUUUGUUAUUGCCUGAUUAAGUACCAAACAAGCCACUAGAUUUAAAGAGAUGCCAGAUGAUUAUUAAAAGCUAUUCCCCAUCACCUAAUGAAUUGACGACAAAGUUUAUCUGCCCUCAAAAUGUACCUGGGCAUGGAAUUGGAAUCUCCCUAAAGCCAAAUCAAUAGUGGAGCUAUCACUUUGUUACUACUAUCAUCUAGGACAAAUAACCCUCAGUCUUUCUCACACUGGGCCCUCUGGCAGGAUAAGCAGGGAAACAAAGUAGCUCAAGGACUCUGUGAUGAUUUUGCCAAACUUUUCUCAGAAUUGCACCCAGUCUAAGAAGCUUCCAUGCAACCUUACUUUUUUCCACCGGAGUUUAGACAUACAUUGCAGCCUGACAGCCUCAUCUGACUUCCUUUCCAUUUCAUAGACAUUUUUUCCUCAUCUAGUCAGAUUACCAUGAUAUCAUGGAUAUAAUGGACCCAUGUCACAUUGCAGGACAUCCUCAUGGUUCGGGUCUCUGAACAAGAUUGCCACUGUCUGGCUGCCAUUCUGAUCUUCCACUGAUUAUAAUGAUUGUGUCCACCUGGCUUCUGACUGGUUAUGCAUUGUCACCUGCCUCUACUGGCUCAGAAUCUGAAAUUCCCUUUGCUCUCAGAGGCUCCAGUUCUGCAAUGGCAGCUCCUACUGUCAGCUCUGGCCUGGAGAAGAUAGACACCACUUAAACUGCUUUGUGAUGCUGAUGCCCCUCUCAUCAGCACAUUACUCACUGCUUUGGUAGACAAUGUCUCCUACGUGCCUUCCUGCAGAGCAGUUUAGGCCAGCUGGAGCCUUUCAAAAGAUUGACAUCCUUUUUGUUCCAUUCCAUCAUUUAGUUAGAAAGUACCCUGAUACUGCCUAUGACCUAAAGAAAGACACAAGUGCCACAGCGAUAAAUGACCUCAAGGUCCAGACUACCUGCUUUGCUGCUUUGUCCUCCAGCCUUGCUCAUGCUUGACCCUGGAUGUACUAUAUUCCAUACACCAAAGGAUUAUUGCUGGGACCACCCAAUCUAAUGAUUUGUGGGUUCUGAUUUAACCCACAUCAUGAAGGAUUAUGUUGGCCAUGUAGUCACUUGGUGUACUAUGUUCAGAUGCUUUUUCUGCAGCAAGACCCAAAAGCAAGUCAGAAGCUGCUUUUCAAACAAUGUUUUGUCCUUUCCCCUAUAAUCCCUUUCACUAUUUUUAUAUUCUCCGUAUGAGUGAAACCAUAUAAUGAUCGUCCUUCUCCGAUUGACUAAUCCCCUCCAGUUCCAUCCAUGUUGAAGCAAAUGGUGAGUAUUCAUCGUUUCUAAUGGCUGAGAAAAUGAGUGGGAAAAAUCAGAGACGGUGACAGAACAUGAGAGACUCCUAACUCUGGGAAAUAAACAAGGGGUAGUGGAAGGGGAAGUGGGUGAGAGGAUGGGGUGACUGGGUGACAGGCACUGAGGGGGGCAUUUGACAGGAUGAGCACUUGGGGUUAUACUAUAUGUUGGCAAAUUGAGUUCCAAUAAAAAAAUGUACAAAAAAAAAAAAAAACCCAAACAAUGUUUUGAAAUUCUCUGCUACAAAAGAUCUUGCUUCAGAACCCUAGCAGCCUGCACUGUGAUUCUCCCAUUGAGGCUUGCAUAAAUUCCACAUGUCACCUUUCUCACCCAAAACACCUCCACAGUUCCUUUACGGUAGAGUCCCUUUCCUCCAUAAUCAGCCUAGCACAUCCCCAGCUGGGUUACGUUGUGACUGAAAUCUAGUUAUUGACUAAGUGUAGAUAUGGCGGCAGGGGUGGAGGGUUCUACAUUGUCAUGAACAAGGAGACCACUAAUCUCCAUCUUCACAUGGCCUUUUCCUCUGUGCAUCUGCAUCAUCUUCUUAUAAAGACAUCACUUAUUGAAUUUAGGACUCACCCCAAUAUAAUCUCAUCUUAAUCCUUAAAUAAUUACAUCUGCAAAAGUGCUUUUUCCAAAUAAGGUCACAUCGUGAGGUUCUAGAUAGGCAUGAAUUUUAAAUGACAUUAUUGAAUUCACUUCAGGGUCCUUAUUGCCAGCUAACUGGUGACAAUCCAGUUGCAGAGUCCCAUCUUAGUACCAGGAAUGACCCAGGAAAGUCAAUGCUAACAGUUCCAAGUUGGGUUCCAGGAAGCCACCUCUGAGGCAAUAAUAGCAUGUUAGGAGUUUAUUAAAUUUUUUUGAGUAAACUCUAUGCCCAACAUGGGAUUUGAACUCACAACUCUGAGAUCAAGUGCCUCUAUUAAAUGUUUCUCUUAAAUUGAACACGUAUGCAAGGGUUGGAUAGAAAGCAGGAUUCAACAGAAGGGGGAGUUGACUAUACCAUACAGUUUAAACAGACCUUGCCAGAUCCCAUAGGAAUCUCUGAAGCUGAGAUGAUCCCUUAGUAUUCUGCAUUGGGUUAAGAAAGCAGAAGCUUCUAUGAACAUUAGUUUCACUCAUAUGUGGAAUAUAAGAAAUAGUGCAGGACCAUAAGGGAAGGAGGGGAAGCUGAAUGGGGAAAAAUCAAAGACAAAUCAUGAGAGACUUAACUCUGGGAAGCAAAUUGAGGGUUGCUGAAGGGGAUAUGGGUGGAGGGACAGGAUAACUGGGUAAUGGGAAGUAAAGAAGGCACGUGAUGUGAUGAGCACUGGGUGUUAUACACAACUGAUGAAUUAUUGAACACUAGAUCUAAAACUAAUGAUGUACAGUAUGUUGACAAAUUAAAUUAAAUUAAAUUUUAAAAAAUGAAAAAAAAUCAGAGGCUUCAAUGAGGAUAAUGAAUCCUCAGUCAACCAUUAAAUGUGGACUAUCUUAGGAAGGAGCUGUGCCCUCAGGCAAGGUGCCUCUCUUUUAGGCAAGAUGUGAAGAUUUAUAGCUAAGCACUCAGCAGUAAAGAAAAAAUACUUCACUCCUAAAGAAAUGUCUGUGUGAUACAGACAUCAUCCACUAUGCCUAUCAUUGAUCAAAACUGAAAAUUAGCUUAUUUUUAUAAGACUGAAAUAGUUCAGACAGACCACUGUUUUCAUUCCCAGAAAAAUAAUUCAGAGGGGGAAAAGGGCUUAAGAAACCCCGAAAAAAUAGUUUAGUUGGUUGAGAUGACUAAAGGGAAGUUAGGAGACGUAUAAUUUGGAAGGUACAGGGAACACUCAUCCCAUAAGUGGAAGUUCCUCCACCCGAAAACUGGAGAGAUGGAGAUUCCAUGCUGGUGACUGAUGAGUUUGGGGAAAGGAUGUGGGAGAUGCUUCAUCUCCUCUCUCUCUGAUCCGCCCAUCUAUAAGGAAAGCGCAUGUUCUUAUCUGUUCUGCUCUGUCAUGGCAUAAACUUUUCAGAGGCUGGACCUUGCUGGGGAGACCUGCCAGUGUCCAGCUCUACCUUUGAUGAGUACACUUAAUUUUGAGUGCAUAAGUCUUUUUAACCAAAACUCUGAAUCACAUUUCUCCCAACAGCUUAAUCAGCCUCACAUUACCAACUUCUACCUCUAUGUCCCAAUCUGUUCUGGACUCUAAUGAAGAUGAACAGUUAUAAUCAGAAAGCUGUGAACUACCAUUUACAUUGACAUGGAUACAACUGGAGGGUAUCAUGCUGAAUGAAAUAAGUCA
rnacentral:lncRNA from 1 species